CCGUCCCCACGCGCACUGCGGUCCAGGGGCUGGCGCGGGGAGGGCCGACAGUGGGCUUGGCGACACUGUAUGCGCUCACCGCCCAGCCCCUGGGGCUGGCCGGCAGACAGCUCUGCA
rnacentral:precursor_RNA from 15 species